GGGUCGUUAGCUCAGUUGGUAGAGCAGCGGACUUUUAAUCCGUUGGUCGCGUGUUCGAGUCACGCACGGCCUA
rfam:Pandoraea thiooxydans strain DSM 25325, complete genome.